UUUGAGCCCACAGGUCCACAAAAACCAGGUUAUAAAUUCAGAGUUUCAGUGAAACAAAAGGAGAUUCCAUUCCUAUUCCCCUGGCAGGAAAAAGAAAGUGAGAGAAGAGCUAACAUAGUUCAGAGAAACCUCCAGAGGCUGAAGGGAACUCAUCGGCAAAGAACCAAUUCCCUCUCAUAUAAACCCUCAGAUUGCUCUACAAACCCAACGAUGCAAUUUAAUUUCAUUCGAUCUCUCCAAUCAGGUUUGCCC
rnacentral:lncRNA from 1 species